rnacentral:rRNA from 1 species
UUUAUGGAGAGUUUGAUCCUGGCUCAGAGUGAACGCUGGCGGCGUGCCUAAUACAUGCAAGUCGAACGAUGAAGCUUCUAGCUUGCUAGAAGCGGAUUAGUGGCGCACGGGUGAGUAACGCAUAGGUCAUGUGCCUCUUAGUUUGGGAUAGCCAUUGGAAACGAUGAUUAAUACCAGAUACUCCCUACGGGGGAAAGAUUUAUCGCUAAGAGAUCAGCCUAUGUCCUAUCAGCUUGUUGGUAAGGUAAUGGCUUACCAAGGCUAUGACGGGUAUCCGGCCUGAGAGGGUGAACGGACACACUGGAACUGAGACACGGUCCAGACUCCUACGGGAGGCAGCAGUAGGGAAUAUUGCUCAAUGGGGGAAACCCUGAAGCAGCAACGCCGCGUGGAGGAUGAAGGUUUUAGGAUUGUAAACUCCUUUUGUUAGAGAAGAUAAUGACGGUAUCUAACGAAUAAGCACCGGCUAACUCCGUGCCAGCAGCCGCGGUAAUACGGAGGGUGCAAGCGUUACUCGGAAUCACUGGGCGUAAAGAGCGCGUAGGCGGGAUAGUCAGUCAGGUGUGAAAUCCUAUGGCUUAACCAUAGAACUGCAUUUGAAACUACUAUUCUAGAGUGUGGGAGAGGUAGGUGGAAUUCUUGGUGUAGGGGUAAAAUCCGUAGAGAUCAAGAGGAAUACUCAUUGCGAAGGCGACCUGCUGGAACAUUACUGACGCUGAUUGCGCGAAAGCGUGGGGAGCAAACAGGAUUAGAUACCCUGGUAGUCCACGCCCUAAACGAUGGAUGCUAGUUGUUGGAGGGCUUAGUCUCUCCAGUAAUGCAGCUAACGCAUUAAGCAUCCCGCCUGGGGAGUACGGUCGCAAGAUUAAAACUCAAAGGAAUAGACGGGGACCCGCACAAGCGGUGGAGCAUGUGGUUUAAUUCGAAGAUACACGAAGAACCUUACCUAGGCUUGACAUUGAGAGAAUCCGCUAGAAAUAGUGGAGUGUCUGGCUUGCUAGACCUUGAAAACAGGUGCUGCACGGCUGUCGUCAGCUCGUGUCGUGAGAUGUUGGGUUAAGUCCCGCAACGAGCGCAACCCCCUUUCUUAGUUGCUAACAGGUUAUGCUGAGAACUCUAAGGAUACUGCCUCCGUAAGGAGGAGGAAGGUGGGGACGACGUCAAGUCAUCAUGGCCCUUACGCCUAGGGCUACACACGUGCUACAAUGGGGUGCACAAAGAGAAGCAAUACUGCGAAGUGGAGCCAAUCUUCAAAACACCUCUCAGUUCGGAUUGUAGGCUGCAACUCGCCUGCAUGAAGCUGGAAUCGCUAGUAAUCGCAAAUCAGCCAUGUUGCGGUGAAUACGUUCCCGGGUCUUGUACUCACCGCCCGUCACACCAUGGGAGUUGUGUUUGCCUUAAGUCAGGAUGCUAAAUUGGCUACUGCCCACGGCACACACAGCGACUGGGGUGAAGUCGUAACAAGGUAACCGUAGGUGAACCUGCGGUUGGAUCACCUCCUUUCUAGA